rnacentral:lncRNA from 1 species
GGGGAAGCAAUCAGAAAUCAAAAAGAAAGAAAGAAAAAAACACACACACACACAAACACAAAAACACGUGGGAGUAUCUUCUGAUUCUGUAUACUUUAAAUCCCUUGACUUCCCCUGGAACUUGUCCUUCUAGCUGGUCUUCUGGGGGAGGGGCCUGCUGUGCUGAUUUUCAGGUGUUAGCACUUGGGGGAGCUGCUCUGCCCCUGCCUGGUGCAGAGCUCAGUGGGGGGUGUUCACCCCGUGAGGCCCCUGGAGGAACAACCGCAGUGGUGGCGGCAGCUCUGGAGCCCUGGAGUCAGCUCCCGCAGUAACUCCGGGGCUCUCCGUCUGCAGGGCCUGGAGGCUCCGGGGCGGGGCCGCUGAUCUGCUCAGCUCCGGGCAGGAGCGUCCUCGCUGUCCUGGGCCCUCCCGGCCUCUGCCUGUCCCGGGGGAGGCCGGAUCCUGGGCUGUGUCCCGGCGCCCUGUGCUCCGGGGCCUGCGCUGUUGGAUUCGCGCUCCCGCCCCGCAGCCCCCUCCGCGGAGCCGCCGCCCGAGCCCCUCCGAGCUGUUCCCGGAGUCGCGCCGCCCCCUCCGGGCUGAGCUUCUUCCUCCGCCCGAGCCGCCCCUGCCGAGCUGUUCCCGGAGCCGCGCCGCCCCCUCCGCGGAGCUUCUUCCUCCGCCCGAGCCGCCGCCGCUGAGCUGUUCCCGGAGCCGCGCAGCCCCCUCCGCGGAGCCGCCGCCCGAGCCCCUCCGAGCUGCUCCGGGUCCCGCCGUGCGCGCUGCAGCCCUUAGGGAGCUCGGCGCAUCUCCCCGGGUGCAGUUCCUCUGUUACUGUCCCAGGGAGCCCGAGGGCAUCCCCGCCUUUCUGGGGAUCCUGCUCCAAUUCCCCGGGAGGCCUUUCCGCCCAGGAAGGUUGGUGCAGCUCCUGCUCCUCCGGGACGGGGCUCUCCUGUCCUGGGGACACUCGCCCCGGCCUCAGCCCGGCUCCUCGCGGGCCCCUCCCCCUUGGAGGCCUUUUGUUUCUUUAUUCCUUUUUCCCCGUCUUCCUACCUUGAUAGAAGCGCGAACUCUUCUCACUGUAGCGUUCCAGCUGGUCUCUCUUUAAAUCUCAGGCCGAAUUCGUAGAUUUUCAGGAUGAUUUGAAGGUUUUCUAGGUAAUUUGUUGGGGACAGGUGAUUUGGAGACCCUACUCUUC